rnacentral:rRNA from 1 species
UACGGGGGGGGCAAGCGUUGUUCGGAAUUACUGGGCGUAAAGGGCUCGUAGGUGGCCAACUAAGUCGGACGUGAAAUCCCUCGGCUUAACCGGGGAACUGCGUCCGAUACUGGUUGGCUUGAGUUUGGGAGAGGGAUGCGGAAUUCCAGGUGUAGCGGUGAAAUGCGUAGAUAUCGUAAGGAAGGCCGGUGGCGAAAGCGAGCCUCUGGACAGUUACUGACGCUGAUGCACGAAGGCCAGGGGAGCAAACGGG